CUCCUACGGGAGGCAGCAGUAGGGAAUAUUGCACAAUGGAGGAAACUCUGAUGCAGCCAUGCCGCGUGCAGGAUGACGGCCCUACGGGUUGUAAACUGCUUUUUUACAAGAAGAAACCUUGGUACGUGUACCAACUUGACGGUAUUGUAAGAAUAAGCACCGGCUAACUCCGUGCCAGCAGCCGCGGUAAU
rnacentral:rRNA from 1 species